GACGAACGCUGGCGGCGUGCUUAACACAUGCAAGUCGAGCGGAAAGGCCCUGCGUUUGUUGGUUGCUCGAUUGGCGAACGGGGGAGUAACACGUGAGUAACCUGCCCUUGUCUUUGUGAUAACUUCAGGGAACUGGGGCUAAUACCGGAUAUGAUCUCCUGCUGCAUGGUGUGGGUUGGAAAGUUUCGGCGUUUGGGUAUGGACUGGAGGGUUAUCAGCUUGUUUGGGUGGUAGGUGCUUACGAAGGCUUUGACGGAUAGGCCGCAUGAGAGGGUGAACGGCGACAUUGCGCCUGAGAUACGGACCAGAAUCCAACGGGAGGCAGUAGUGGGGAAUAUUGCACAAUGGCGGGAAGCCAGAUGCAGCAACGCCGCGUGCGGGAUGCCGGCCUUCGGGGUAUAAACAGCUUUCGACGGUGACGAAGAGUGCGUGACGGUAAUGGGUCAAGAAGCCACGGCUAACUACGUG
rnacentral:rRNA from 1 species